AGAGGUUCUCCAUAGAUACAGAGGGUUAGAGAGGUUCUCCAUAGAUACAGAGGGUUAGAGGUUCUCCAUAGAUACAGAGGGUUAGAGGUUCUCCAUAGAUACAGAGGGUUAGAGAGGUUCUCCAUAGAUACAGAGGGUUAGAGAGGUUCUCCAUAGAUACAGAGGGUUAGAGAGGUUCUCCAUAGAUACAGAGGGUUAGAGGUUCUCCAUAGGAUACAGAGGGUUAGAGAGGUUCUCCAUAGAUACAGAGGGUUAGAGGUUCUCCAUAGAUACAGAGGGUUAGAGGUUCUCCAUAGGAUACAGAGGGUUAGAGAGGUUCUCCAUAGAUACAGAGGGUUAGAGGUUCUCCAUAGAUACAGAGGGUUAGAGGUUCUCCAUAGAUACAGAGGGUUAGAGAGGUUCUCCAUAGAUACAGAGGGUUAGAGAGGUUCUCCAUAGAUACAGAGGGUUAGAGAGGUUCUCCAUAGAUACAGAGGGUUAGAGGUUCUCCAUAGGAUACAGAGGGUGAGAG
ensembl:lncRNA